AUCGAAUUGUGUAUUUUCACUUUGUUGUUAGUGUCAGUCACUGCUGUUUGAAGAGUGGGAUUUAGGAGGAAAAAUAAUAAUGCAUCGGGACUUCCCCGAUAUACUGGUUAAAAUAUAGUCGUCGAGCUGCGAGAGGAGAUGACGGUGUUGGUGAUAAAUGAACCGCAUCACUUAUUGAUGUGAAAUUUGAUUUUUUUAUAACCGAAAAUCGUCUCCACCAUACUGUAAUCGCAAAAAAUAUCCCGCAAAUGGCAAUCGUAACUUUGAAAGAAAAAAAUACAGAGUGUAAAUUAGUUUUCAAUAACAAAUAAUUGAGGAAAUGAGUAGGGUGUAUGUUUCUAAAGUUGACAUGUACCAAGUCAUUCACUUUAGAUUUUCUUAUCAAACAAUAACUACUUCAAAUAGAGUAAUAUCAUACAUAAAAAUAUUGCCAGAAGUUUUAUGUUUCAUUUUUUAGUAAAGAUCAUAAAUACCCAAACGAAAUAUAAGGUAUCCAACUUGACAGUAAUCAGUUUUCUCUUUUAAAUUUAAACUAAGUUCAAGAAUCAGAGAUAAUAUAUUGUCUGAAAACAUCGACUUUUGGAGCAUUCACCCUACUUAAUUUUUAAUCAAAAGUAUACUGUAGAAAGUUGACAAAAAUGCAGACUGAAAAUCUGAUUCAUUUAAUACUUUUGAUUUAGGCUGCUUAAUACUCCGGAAAGGAAUAAAACGGUCCUGGACUUUUAUUUCCUCCCUUUUGUUAUUUAUUCGCGAAUUGUAUUGUGGUUCUGAAACUUUGGACGAGAAUAUAUUGUUGUCAGAUUUCCAAAGUGGCAAAUGUUGAUCUGAUAAACAUUAAAAUGAAUUAA